GUUAAGUUAGUUUAACUAAAAUAUCAGCUUGUGGAUCUGAUGAUAAAAUUUAUUUUACUUAACC
rnacentral:tRNA from 1 species